UACGUAGGUGGCGAGCGUUGUCCGGAAUUACUGGGUGUAAAGGGAGCGUAGGCGGGAGAGCAAGUCGACUGUGAAAUCUAUGGGCUUAACCCAUAGCUGCGAUCGAAACUGUUCAUCUUGAGUGAAGUAGAGGCAGGCGGAAUCCCUAGUGUAGCGGUGAAAUGCGUAAAUAUUAGGAGGAACACCAGUGGCGAAGGCGGCCUGCUGGGCUUUAACUGACGCUGAGGCUCGAAAGCGUGGGUAGCAAACAGG
rnacentral:rRNA from 1 species